GUAUGUAUUCUGUUUCUAGAAUAAAUAGAUACCAUGGGAAUACAAAAACCAAAAGACAUGAUCAUUAACUUCAAAGACUUUAUAAUAUAGCAGAGAGAGAAAAUUAACAUUCAUGAAGGAAUUAUGGAAUGGUUGAGUGGUGAACUUAUUAUAAAUAGAGGUUUCAGAUAGAAAAAGUGUUCUAUGAUUAAAAUUCUUGGCAGUCUAAGCUGUUGCAAAGCAGAGGCCACGGAUGACCGUAGGCCUGAUCGG
rnacentral:lncRNA from 1 species